rnacentral:misc_RNA from 1 species
GGAAGUAGAAGUCGUAACAAGGUCUCCGUAGGUGAACCUGCGGAGGGAUCAUUACAGAGUUCUCGCCCUCGCGGGUAGAUCUCCCACCCACUGUUAUCGUUACUGUGUUGCUUUGGCGGGCCGCCGGGCCCCGCUCGGCCGCCGGCUCCGGCUGGCGCGCGCCCGCCAGAGGCCCAGCAAACUCUGAAUGUUAGUGUCGUCUGAGUACUAUAUAAUAGUUAAAACUUUCAACAACGGAUCUCUUGGUUCUG